rnacentral:rRNA from 1 species
AUUGAACGCUGGCGGCAUGCCUUACACAUGCAAGUCGAACGGCAGCACGGGGGCAACCCUGGUGGCGAGUGGCGGACGGGUGAGUAAAGCAUCGGAACGUAUCCUGGAGUGGGGGGAUAACGUAGCGAAAGUUACGCUAAUACCGCAUAUUCUGUGAGCAGGAAAGCAGGGGAUCGCAAGACCUUGCGCUCUGGGAGCGGCCGAUGUCGGAUUAGCUAGUUGGUGGGGUAAAGGCCUACCAAGGCGACGAUCCGUAGCGGGUCUGAGAGGAUGAUCCGCCACACUGGGACUGAGACACGGCCCAGACUCCUACGGGAGGCAGCAGUGGGGAAUUUUGGACAAUGGGCGGAAGCCUGAUCCAGCCAUGCCGCGUGAGUGAAGAAGGCCU